rnacentral:rRNA from 1 species
GCGCACGGNGAACGGGUGNGUAACACNUGGGCAAUCUGCCCUCGGAUGGGGGGAUAACUCGCCGAAAGGCGAGCUAAUACCGCAUGACAUUAAAAAAAAAAAACGGUCUUUGGACUCAAAGGCCGCAAGGCCGUCUGAGGAGGAGCCCGCGCCCGAUUAGCUAGUUGGUGAGGUAACGGCUCACCAAGGCUUUGAUCGGUAGCCGGUCUGAGAGGAUGGCCGGCCACACUGGAACUGAGACACGGUCCAGACUCCUACGGGAGGCAGCAGUGGGGAAUAUUGCGCAAUGGGCGAAAGCCUGACGCAGCGACGCCGCGUGGGGGAUGAAGCUUCUCGGAGUGUAAACCCCUUUCGACCCGGACGAAUGACCCGCAAGGGUUUGACGGUACGGGU